UACGUAGGGUGCGAGCGUUAAUCGGAAUUACUGGGCGUAAAGAGCGCGCAGGCGGUCGCUCAAGUCGCGUGUGAAAGCCCCCGGCUCAACUGGGGAGGGUCACGCGAUACUGAUCGACUGGAAGGCAGGAGAGGGUAGUGGAAUUCCCGGUGUAGUGGUGAAAUGCGUAGAUAUCUGGAGGAACACCGGUGGCGAAGGCGGCAUCCUGGACCGGUAUUGACGCUGAGGCGCGAAAGCUAGGGGAGCAAACGGGG
rnacentral:rRNA from 1 species